AGAGUUCGAUCCUGGCUCGGGAUGAGCGGCGGCAUCUUAACACAUGCAAGUCGGACGAGAAGUGGUGUUUCGAGUGGCGGACGAGUGAGUAACGCCAGAAGAACACGCCCUUGGAGGGGAACAACAACUGGAAAUGGUUGCUAAUACCCCGUAGGUUGAGGAGCAAAGGAGGGAAUCCCAGAGGAGGGGCUUUGCGUCUAAUUAGCUAGUUGGUGAGGUAAUAGCUUACCACAGGCGAUGAUGAUCGAUGAGCUGGUCCGAGAGGAUGAUCGACCCCACUUGGGGCCGAGAGAUGCCCGGAACUCUCUGGGAGGUAGCAGUGGGGAAUUUUCCGCAAUGGGCUUAAAAGCAUGAUGGAGCAAUGGCGUGGAGGUAGAAGGCCCACGGUCGUGAACUUCUUUUCUCGGAGAAGAAACAAUGGCGGUAUCGAGGAAUAAGCAUCGGCUAACUCGUGCCGGCGGCCAUGAUAAAGGCGAAGAGGAUGCAAGCGUUAUCUAGAAUGAUUGGGCGUAAAAGCGUCAGAGGUGGCUUUUCAAGUCCGUCGUCAAAAUCGAGGGCUCAACCACGGAAAGUGUGGAAACUACCAAAAUUUGGAGUAUGGUAGAGGCAGAGGGAAUUUCGGUGGAGCGGUGAAAUGCAUAGAGAUCGGAAAGAACACCAACGGAAAAGCACUCUGUUGGACACACGACAAUCGAGAGACGAAAGCUAGGGGAGCAAAUGGGAUUAGAUACCCCGAGUAGUCCUAGCCGUAAACGAUGGAUACUAGGCGAUGUGCGCGUGUCGACCCGUGCAGUCUUUGUAGCUAACGCGUUAAGUAUCCCGCCGGGGAGUACGUUCGCAAAGAAUGAAACUCAAAGGAAUUUGGGGGGGCCCGCACAAGCGGUGGAGCAUGUGGUUUAAUUGAUGCAAAGCGAAGAACCUUACUGGGGCUUGACAUGUCGUGAAUCCUCUUGAAAGAGAGGGUGCCGCCGGGAGCAGCGGACACGGUGGUGCAUGGCUGUCAUCGGCUUGUGCCGUAAGGUGUUGGGUUAAGUCCCGCGAACGAAGCGCAACCCUCGUGUUUAGUUGCCACCAUUGAGUUUGGAACCCUGAACAUUUUUUGUGAUAAGCCGGAGGAAGGUGGGGAUGACGUCAAGUCAUCAUGCCCCUUAUGCCGGGCGACACACGUGCUACAAUGGCGGGACAAAGGGUCGUGAUCUCGCGAGGGUGAGCUAACCCCAAAAAACCCAUCCUCGUUCGGAUUGCAGGCUGCAACUUCGCUGCAUGAAGCCGGAAUCGCUAGUGUCGCCCGGUCGACCAUGGCGGUGAAUUCGUUCGGGCCUUGUACACACCGCCCGUCACACUAUGGGAGCUGGCCAUGCCCGAAGUUGUUACCUUAACCGCCAAGAGGGGAUGGGAGGCGGGGCUAGUGGACUGGAGUGAAGUCGUAACAAAGGUAGCCGUACUAGAAGGUGCUGGUU
rnacentral:rRNA from 1 species